rnacentral:rRNA from 1 species
GAUCUCAAAUCAGGUAGGACUACCCGCUGAACUUAAGCACAUCAAUAAGCGGAGGAAAAGAAACUAACAAGGAUUCCCCUAGUAACUGCGAGUGAAGCGGGAAAAGCUCAAAUUUAAAAUCUGGCGUGCCUCUGGUCGUCCGAGUUGUAGUUUAGAGAAGCGUUUUCUGUGUUGGACCGUGUAUAAGUCUCUUGGAACAGGACGUCAUAGAGGGUGAGAAUCCCGUCUUUGACACGGACUACCAAUGCUUUGUGAUAUGCUCUCAAAGAGUCGAGUUGUUUGGGAAUGCAGCUCAAAAUGGGUGGUAAAUUCCAUCUAAAGCUAAAUAUAGGCGAGAGACCGAUAGCGAACAAGUACCGUGAGGGAAAGAUGAAAAGCACUUUGGAAAGAGAGUUAAGCAGUACGUGAAAUUGCUGAAAGGGAAACGC